AGCAGGGGGAGCAAGAUGAAGUCACAAACCCAGGUUUUCUUGUUCUUGCUGCUUUGGGUGUCUGGUACCUGUGCAGACAUCGUGAUGACCCAGUCUCCAUCCUCCCUGGCUGUGUCAGCAGGAGAGAAGGUCUCCAUCAACUGCAAGUCCAGUCAGAGCCUUUAUUACAACAGCAACCAAAAAAAUUACUUGGCCUGGUACCAGCAGAAACCAGGGCAGUCCCCUAAGCUGAUGAUCUACUGGGCAUCCACUAGGCACACUGGGGUCCCUGAUCGCUUCACAGGCAGUGGAUCUGGGACAGAUUUCACUCUCUCAAUCAGCAGUGUGCAGGCUGAAGACCUGGCAGUUUAUUACUGCAUGCAGUAUUAUAAUAAUCCUCCCACAGUGUUUCAGCUUCCAACACAAACCUCCUUGAGAGUCUCACCAGCUGCCUGCACCAGACACAGCCCUGGGCCUGCACACUUCCCCUUCUGCAUGACAGCCGGUGUGUCUGAGAAACUGACAAAUAGUUUGCAGAGCAAAGGGAAAAUUAUGGGUUCAGUG